GGGUGAGUAACACGUGGAUAACCUACCUAUAAGACUGGGAUAACUUCGGGAAACCGGAGCUAAUACCGGAUGAUAUUUUGAACCGCAUGGUUCAAAAGUGAAAGACGGUCUUGCCGUCACUUAUAGAUGGAUCCGCGCUGCAUUAGCUAGUUGGUAAGGUAACGGCUUACCAAGGCAACGAUGCAUAGCCGACCUGAGAGGGUGAUCGGCCACACUGGAACUGAGACACGGUCCAG
rnacentral:rRNA from 1 species